rnacentral:rRNA from 1 species
UACAGAGGUCUCAAGCGUUGUUCGGAUUCAUUGGGCGUAAAACGUGCGCAGGCGGUUUUGUAAGUCAGUUGUGAAAUCCCCGGGCUCAACCUGGGAACUGCAUCUGUGACUGCAUAGCUAGAGUACGGUAGAGGGGGAUGGAAUUCCGCGUGUAGCAGUGAAAUGCGUAGAUAUGCGGAGGAACACCGAUGGCGAAGGCAGCUCUCUGGGACGGUACUGACGCUGAGACGCGAAAGCAUGGGGAGCGAACAGG